GGGAGUGUCGCCUAAUGGACAAGGCAUCAGUCUUCUAAACUGACCUGUGUGGGUUUCUCCUGACGGAGACGCUGCGCUAACAAGUCCUACUACUCCUG
rnacentral:tRNA from 1 species